GUCUCUGUAGCGCAAUGGAUAGCGUGUUGGACUUCUAAUCCAAAGGACGUGGGCUCGAAUCCCACCUGGGAUG
rnacentral:tRNA from 1 species